rnacentral:rRNA from 1 species
GAUGAACGCUGGCGGCGUGCCUAAUACAUGCAAGUAGAACGCUGAAGGAGGAGCUUGCUCUUCUGGAUGAGUUGCGAACGGGUGAGUAACGCGUAGGUAACCUGCCUGGUAGCGGGGGAUAACUAUUGGAAACGAUAGCUAAUACCGCAUGACAACAGUUAUUGCAUGAUAACUGUUUAAAAGGGGCAACUGCUCCACUACCAGAUGGACCUGCGUUGUAUUAGCUAGUUGGUGAGGUAACGGCUCACCAAGGCGACGAUACAUAGCCGACCUGAGAGGGUGAUCGGCCACACUGGGACUGAGACACGGCCCAGACUCCUACGGGAGGCAGCAGUAGGGAAUCUGCGGCAAUGGACGGAAGUCUGACCGAGCAACGCCGCGUGAGUGAAGAAGGGUUUCGGAUCGUAAAGCUCUGUUGUAAGAGAAGAACGAGUGUGAGAGUGGAAAGUUCACACUGUGACGGUAUCUUACCAGAAAGGGACGGCUAACUACGUG